UGGAAUGUAGCUCAGUGGUAGAGCACUUUCCUCACAUGCAGGAGGCCCUGGGUUCCACCCCCAGCACCACAA
rnacentral:tRNA from 1 species